rnacentral:rRNA from 1 species
GACGAACGCUGGCGGCGUGCCUAAUACAUGCAAGUUGAGCGCUGAAGGUUGGUACUUGUACCAACUGGAUGAGCAGCGAACGGGUGAGUAACGCGUGGGGAAUCUGCCUUUGAGCGGGGGACAACAUUUGGAAACGAAUGCUAAUACCGCAUAAAAACUUUAAACACAAGUUUUAAGUUUGAAAGAUGCAAUUGCAUCACUCAAAGAUGAUCCCGCGUUGUAUUAGCUAGUUGGUGAGGUAAAGGCUCACCAAGGCGAUGAUACAUAGCCGACCUGAGAGGGUGAUCGGCCGCAUUGGGACUGAGACACGGCCCAAACUCCUACGGGAGGCAGCAGUAGGGAAUCUUCGGCAAUGGACGAAAGUCUGACCGAGCAACGCCGCGGGAGUGAAGAAGGUUGUCGGAUCGUAAAACUCUGUUGGUAGAGAAGAACGUUGGUGAGAGUGGAAAGCUCAUCAAGUGACGGUAACUACCCAGAAAGGGACGGCUAACUACGUG